UACGUAGGGUGCAAGCGUUAAUCGAAAUUACUGGGCGUAAAGCGUGCGCAGGCGGUGAUGUAAGACAGAUGUGAAAUCCCCGGGCUCAACCUGGGAACUGCAUUUGUGACUGCAUCGCUGGAGUACGGCAGAGGGGGAUGGAAUUCCGCGUGUAGCAGUGAAAUGCGUAGAUAUGCGGAGGAACACCGAUGGCGAAGGCAAUCCCCUGGGCCUGUACUGACGCUCAUGCACGAAAGCGUGGGGAGCAAACAGG
rnacentral:rRNA from 1 species